UACGUAGGGUGCAAGCGUUAAUCGGAAUUACUGGGCGUGAAGCGUGCGCAGGCGGUUGUGCAAGACAGAGGUGAAAUCCCCGGGCUUAACCUGGGAACUGCCUUUGUGACUGCACGGCUAGAAUCUGGCAGAGGGGGGUAGAAUUCCACGUGUAGCAGUGAAAUGCGUAGAUAUGUGGAGGAAUACCGAUGGCGAAGGCAGCCCCCUGGGCUAAGAUUGACGCUCAUGCACGAAAGCGUGGGGAGCAAACAGG
rnacentral:rRNA from 1 species